rnacentral:rRNA from 1 species
GCAUCUAGAUUGCGGAUCCGCGGCCGCAGAGUUUGAUCCUGGCUCAGAUUGAACGCUGGCGGCAUGCCUUACACAUGCAAGUCGAACGGCAGCACGGACUUCGGUCUGGUGGCGAGUGGCGAACGGGUGAGUAAUGCAUCGGAACGUACCCGGUAGUGGGGGAUAACUACCCGAAAGGGUGGCUAAUACCGCAUAUACUGUGCGCAGGAAAGCAGGGGACCUUCGGGCCUUGUGCUACCGGAGCGGCCGAUGUCAGAUUAGGUAGUUGGUGGGGUAACGGCCUACCAAGCCUGCGAUCUGUAGCGGGUCUGAGAGGAUGAUCCGCCACACUGGGACUGAGACACGGCCCAGACUCCUACGGGAGGCAGCAGUGGGGAAUUUUGGACAAUGGGCGCAAGCCUGAUCCAGCCAUGCCGCGUGAGUGAAGUAGGCCUUCGGGUUGUAAAGCUCUUUCGGACGGAAAGAAAUCGCGCAGGCUAAUAUCCUGUGCGGAUGACGGUACCGUCAUAAGAAGCACCGGCUAACUACGUGCCAGCAGCCGCGGUAAUACGUAGGGUGCGGGCGUUAAUCGGAAUUACUGGGCGUAAAGCGUGCGCAGGCGGUUUUGUAAGACAGUGGUGAAAUCCCCGGGCUCAACCUGGGAACUGCCAUUGUGACUGCAAGGCUGGAGUGCGGCAGAGGGGGAUGGAAUUCCGCGUGUAGCAGUGAAAUGCGUAGAUAUGCGGAGGAACACCGAUGGCGAAGGCAAUCCCCUGGGCCUGCACUGACGCUCAUGCACGAAAGCGUGGGGACAAACAGGA